rnacentral:lncRNA from 1 species
GAGGUCUAAGUCUGCACCUCUCUGACGGAAAAGGACCAAAGAAAGGUAGAGUGUGACUGAAAGGACAGAGGGCCAGCCGCAGAGUCAUGAACUCACUGUAUAUUUGGGGACAUCCAUUCUUCUUUCCAAGCCUUCUCAUGUGCAUCGUAAUCCUGGCCUCCAUAACUCAUGGGCCUAAUGUAAAAAUUCAGCAGACUUUUUUUGUGAGUGUGUCUUUUUAGGGCCGCAACUGAGGCAUAUAGAGAUUCCCAGGCUAGGGGUCGAAUCAGAACCUUAGCUGCUGGCCUACACCACAGCCAGAGCAAAGCAGGAUCCGAGCUGUGUCUGCAACCUACACCACAGCUCACAGCAACACCGGAUCCUUAACUCACUGAGUGAGGCCAGUGAUCAAACCUGCGUCCUCAUGGAUGCUAGUCAGAUUCAAUUCCAUUGAGCCACGGUGGGAACUCCAAUUCAACAGACAUUUACCAAACCUUAGGGCAAUCUAGGGAUUAUCACAUGUUCUGGGGACAGAGAGUCUAGAAUUUGUAUCCCGGCUCCACCAGCUUAACAGUUGUGGGACUCCAGGAAAUUGAUCUGAGUGCCUUAGUUUCUUCACGCCUACAGAACCCGCCUUGUGGAAUUGCUGUGAGGAUUAAAUGGGCCUUUAUGUGUAAUGCAUUUAGUGACUAUUCAGUAAAUGCGAGCUAUAUUAUUAUCAUCAUCACGUGCUAGAUCCUGGGAGAGGGAUGAAAAGCGGAAGGCAUAACGCCCCAACAAGUGCACGGCUGCCAAAGAGGAGCAGGAAAAGUAACUAUGCGCAGAGUGCAAAAACCCAGCAGUGAGCUUACGGCGCCUUCAGAAAGCGACGAGGUUCCCAGGGUGCUCCUCAGCGCGGGAGUCGGUGAAGCUGCAGCUGAGGCCGGGCGGGGGAGGCGGGGCGGGGGCUCACGGAGUGGCUGGGGCGCAGGCCCCGCCUCCCAAACUCCCGCCCUUUCGGAGAGCCCUGCCGCUCCAGCCAGCGCUCCAGAGAGGACUGCAUCGCCUUAG